GACGAACGCUGGCGGCGUGCUUAACACAUGCAAGUCGAACGGUGAAGCGCCUUCCUUUUUGGUGGGUGUGGAUGAGUGGCGAACGGGUGAGUAACACGUGAGUAACCUGCCCCCUUCUUCUGGAUAACCGCAUGAAAGUGUGGCUAAUACGGGAUAUUCUGGGUCUGUCGCAUGAUGGGUCUGGGAAAGAUAUUGUUUCGGUGGGGGAUGGGCUCGCGGCCUAUCAGCUUGUUGGUGGGGUGAUGGCCUACCAAGGCGGUGACGGGUAGCCGGCCUGAGAGGGUGGACGGUCACACUGGGAAUGCGACACGGCCCAGACUCCUACGGGAGGCAGCAGUGGGGAAUAUUGCACAAUGGGCGCAAGCCUGAUGCAGCGACGCCGCGUGAGGGAUGGAGGCCUUCGGGUUGUGAACCUCUUUCGCCAGUGAAGCAGGCCUGCCUCGUUUGUGGGUGGGUUGACGGUAGCUGGAUAAGAAGCGCCGGCUAACUACGUG
rnacentral:rRNA from 1 species